CCUCGUCGUAGCUCAGCGGUAGAGCGCCCGGCUCGGGGCCGGGUGGACGCCGGUUCGAGCCCGGCCGGCGAGGACC
rnacentral:tRNA from 1 species